GAAAAUUUAAAAAUCGUCGUUACAAAAUUUGAACAGCUGUGUUACCGUGAAAGUUUAUAGGCCUUUAUGUUCGUUAUAAUUAUUCUGAAAAAGGAACAGCCAGCCUCGCAGUAAUGUUGAUUGAUCUCAAACAUACGAAAUCGUGUGAGAAGACGCUUAAUUUUCUAUUUUGUGAAUAAAAUAAUGUGUAUUGUUUAUUUUUGAAGGUUAAACUUUCAGGUUUUUAUUUUUUUAAAGUUGUAUUUUGUUUGCUGACAAUAAAACAGACACAACUUU
rnacentral:misc_RNA from 1 species